rnacentral:rRNA from 1 species
UACGUAGGGGGCAAGCGUUGUCCGGAAUCAUUGGGCGUAAAGAGCGUGUAGGCGGCCUUACAGGUCAGCUGUGAAAACUCGAGGCUCAACCUCGACACGUCGGUUGAAACCGUAUGGCUAGAGUCCGGAAGAGGAGAGUGGAAUUCCCGGUGUAGCGGUGAAAUGCGCAGAUAUCGGGAAGAACACCCGUGGCGAAGGCGGCUCUCUGGGACGGUACUGACGCUGAGACGCGAAAGCGUGGGGAGCGAACAGG